rnacentral:rRNA from 1 species
UACGUAGGGGGCGAGCGUUGUCCGGAGUUACUGGGCGUAAAGCGCACGCAGGCGGUCUGCUAAGUUUGGAGUGACAGUUGGUGGCUUAACUGCCAAAGUGCUUCGAAAACUGACAGACUUGGGGGCUUCAGAGGGACACGGAAUUGCCGGGUGGAGGUGGAGUGAAAUGACGUAGAGAUCCGGAGGAACACCAAAGGCGAAGGCAGUGUCCUGGGGAGUACCUGACGCUCGAGGUGCGAAAGCCAGGGGAGCGAACGGG